rnacentral:misc_RNA from 1 species
GGCAGUCUCAGUUGGAGGCCUUGCCAUUUUCUUGGUUCUUGCUUCUUUGCUCAUGGUUUCUUACCCCAUUCGUUCCACCGUCCGUGGAUAUUUUUAUGGUGUUGAUAACUCAAAUAAAUUGGCUUUGCCGGUCUUUCCUGGGAACGAAAGCCAUGAUAGUAAUGUAGACGUGAUUAAUAGUGAUUCUCCAUCUGGAACUAGUUUAGAAGUACCCAUUAGUUCUAGUGGUGUUAACGAUAGUGUAAAUGACAUAGAUAAGAAUUCUUUGNUUUGCCGUCAGAGUCUGAUCUACAAAUUCCCACCGCCAAUGCCAGCCAAGCAGAGGGGGUCAAGGAGAAGGGGAGUCGAGUUGCUUACAGUGGUAAAGGAAAUGUUGUGUCUAAUAAUUCUGGUGGUGUAGAUAAAAGAUCAGUUCAAACUAGCCUGGCUAUUUCUGCUCCAGAUUCUAAAUCAGAGGCUAAGCCAGUUUUAUCUGAUGUUUCCAGCAAUGCAACCCCGAUUAGUUCAGAUGAUUCUGGUUGUGAUCUGUACCAUGGAAUUUGGUUGUUUGAUUCACAGGGACCAUCAUAUACAAACAACACAUGCCCUGUACUGACACAGAUGCAGAACUGCCAGGGGAAUGGGAGACCUGACAAGGAGUAUGAGAAUUGGCGUUGGAAACCAUCUCAAUGUCAACUUCCACGAUUUGAUGCCAAGAAGUUUUUGGAAUUGAUGAGAGGAAAGACCCUAGCUUUCAUUGGCGACUCUGUUGCCCGAAACCAGAUGGAAUCAAUGUUGUGCCUUCUCUGGCAGGUAGAAGUUCCCAAAAACCGUGGGAACAAAAGAAUGCAGCGAUAUCUCUUCAAGUCAACAUCUACCAUGAUUGUACGAAUAUGGUCCUCUUGGCUUGUUCACAAGACAUCAGAACCUCUUGACUUUGCUCCAGAAGGCAUUGUAAAACUCCACCUUGAUGCUCCAGAUGAGGAUUUCAUGGAAUUCAUCCCAAGUUUCAAUGUGAUUGUUCUUUCUUCUGGUCAUUGGUUUGCCAAACAAUCUGUCUAUGUUUUGAACGAUGAAAUUGUGGGAGGACAGUUGUGGUGGCCAGACAAGUCUCGUUCAAUGAAGGUUAACAAUAUUGAAGCAUUUGGAAUAUCUACCGAGACAAUUCUCACAUCUAUUAUUACCCAUCCAAAUUACACUGGGCUGACCAUUCUGCGUUCUUAUUCACCUGAUCACUAUGAAGGUGGGGCCUGGAAUACUGGGGGAUCAUGCACUGGAAAAGUGAAACCUCUUGCUCCAGG